rnacentral:piRNA from 1 species
UUUCUUAUCCUUUUUGACAAC